GAAAAAUGGCAAUAGCCUAACGCCUGAACCAGCAACUUGGAGGAAUGUAUAGCAAUAGCUACUUGCAUCAUUGUAAAAAUGAUGCAGGAUCGACUAUGUCGAAUAAAAUUCUAGGUAGAAUUUUGAUAAUGACAUUGUCUGCCUAUGUGUCUUGACCAAAUUACGUGCCAGCAGUCGCGGUAAUACGUAGAAGACUAGUGUUAUUCAUGUUUAAUCGGUUUAAAGGGUACCUAGACGGUAAAUCAAGCCUAAAAUUAAGUGAAGGGACUAAUUUACUAGAGUUACUUAUGAGGGGGUAUUAAAGUACUGCUGGUGUAGAGAUGAAAUUCUGUCAUACCUCUUUUCAAUAGAAAAAUAAUGGCACAGGUAUAGGCGAAAGCAUCCCCUUAUGUGAUAACUGACGUUGAGGGACGAAGGCUUUUUGUAGCGAACAGGAUUAGAUACCCCAGUAGUCAAAGCAGAAAAUGAUGAAUGUCAUAGAUUAGAUAAAUAAGUUUAUUCUAUAAAUGAAAGUGUAAGCAUUCCACCUCAAGAGUAAUUUGGCAACAUUGGAACUGAAAUCAUUAGACCGUUUCUGAAACCAGUAGUGAAGUAUGUUGUUUAAUUUGAUGAUCCGCAAAAAACCUUACCACAAUUUGAAUAUUUAUAUCUUUUAUUGUUUUUUUUUAUUUUUCUUCUGAUUUUCAUUGUAUGAUUUUCUUCUUAUUCUAUUUGCAUGUGCAUGCACAUGCAAAAGAACGAAAUUGAGCUAAUCCCCCAAAACUGGAAAACAAUUGAUCAUUAUAUCAUAAUAAAAAGAGGCGAUAUGAUAUAUUUACAAGCGUUGCACGGCUGUCUUCAGUUAAUGUCGCGAGACUUUGGUUAGUUCCAUUAAAUUAACGUAAACCCUUACUUUAUUUUUAUAUAGAGUAGUUCCCCGCUAUAUGGAUAUGAU
rnacentral:rRNA from 1 species